rnacentral:rRNA from 1 species
CCUACGGGAGGCAGCAGUGGGGAAUAUUGGACAAUGGGCGAAAGCCUGAUCCAGCAAUGCCGCGUGAGUGAUGAAGGCCUUAGGGUUGUAAAGCUCUUUUACCCGGGAUGAUAAUGACAGUACCGGGAGAAUAAGCUCCGGCUAACUCCGUGCCAGCAGCCGCGGUAAUACGGAGGGAGCUAGCGUUGUUCGGAAUUACUGGGCGUAAAGCGUACGUAGGCGGUUAUUCAAGUCAGAGGUGAAAGCCUGGAGCUCAACUCCAGAACUGCCUUUGAAACUAGGUAGCUAGAAUCUUGGAGAGGUUAGUGGAAUUCCGAGUGUAGAGGUGAAAUUCGUAGAUAUUCGGAAGAACACCAGUGGCGAAGGCGACUAACUGGACAAGUAUUGACGCUGAGGUACGAAAGCGUGGGGAGCAAACAGGAUUAGAUACCCUGGUAGUCCACGCCGUAAACGAUGAUAACUAGCUGUUCGGGCUCUACGAGCUUGAGUGGCGCAGCUAACGCAUUAAGUUAUCCGCCUGGGGAGUACGGUCGCAAGAUUAAAACUCAAAAGUGUAAUUGACGGUGAGAGACGCGACGACGACGACGACGAGGAGGAG